rnacentral:rRNA from 1 species
GGGUCAGUAGGUUGGUCGUGCCACCGGUACGUACUGGUCUCACUGAUUCCUCCUUCCUGAAGAACCGUAAUGCCAUUAAUUUGGUGUUGCGGGGAAACAGGACUGUUACUUUGAAAAAAUUAGGGUGUUUAAAGCAAGCUAACGCUUGAAUACAUUAGCAUGGAAUAAUGAAAUAGGACGAUCGAUCCUAUUUUGUUGGUUUCUAGGAUUGACGUA